GAUGAACGCUGGCGGCGUGCCUAAUACAUGCAAGUCGAGCGAACGGACGAGAAGCUUGCUUUUCUGAUGUUAGCGGCGGACGGGUGAGUAACACGUGGAUAACCUACCUAUAAGACUGGGAUAACUUCGGGAAACCGGAGCUAAUACCGGAUAAUAUUUUGAACCGCAUGGUUCAAAAGUGAAAGACGGUCUUGCUGUCACUUAUAGAUGGAUCCGCGCUGCAUUAGCUAGUUGGUAAGGUAACGGCUUACCAAGGCAACGAUGCAUAGCCGACCUGAGAGGGUGAUCGGCCACACUGGAUCUGAGACACGGUCCAGACUCCUACGGGAGGCAGCAGUAGGGAAUCUUCCGCGAUGGGCGAAAGCCUGACGGAGCAACGCCGCGUGAGUGAUGAAGGUCUUCGGAUCGUAAAACUCUGUUAUUAGGGAAGAACAUAUGUGUAAGUAACUGUGCACAUCUUGACGGUACCUAAUCAGAAAGCCACGGCUAACUACGUG
rnacentral:rRNA from 1 species